CCGUCGAUAGCUCAGUUGGUAGAGCGGUGGACUGUAUAUCCAUAGGUCGCUGGUUCGAAUCCGGCUCGACGGA
rnacentral:tRNA from 1 species